rnacentral:lncRNA from 1 species
UGAUUCAAGGCGAGGCAAGAGGUGCUUCAGAUGCUGUCUUUUGCAGUCCUCCGAGAGGUUAGGGAUGUGGGAGGUCCCUGGGGGCCAUCUCUUACAAGACACAGUUUCCACUAAAUUGGAUCGUAUUUGUACAUCUCUACACCUGUGCGUGAUAGUAAACUUUUGCACCCAAAUACCCCGACCCCUGAAGGAGAGUGUGAGUUAAAAGGAUCUGAAGAACGGACCCUUUGUUUAAGCCUUCUCCGCUGGUGGUAUACUUACGAGGACCAGAGGUGAGGUGUCAGCAAGGAGGCCCACAGGUGGAAAGUGCUUUGGGCCAAUGGUACACACCUGCUUUAUUGGAUAGACGCAGAGAAGUAUGCCUGGUCACAGCCAGAGCUUACUCGGGUUAUCUUCUUCUGCUGGAUGGAUAAACACUCAGAACCCCAAAGCAGUGUUCUAAGAUUAAAAAGAAAAAAGAAAAUCAGGUGGAUAAAGAGCCUCAGGUCUAACUGAAUUGUCAACUAAUGACGUUUCCUGCUUCCCCUUCACCUUCAGCCAUGAUUGUAAAUUUCCUGAGGCCUCCCAAGCCAUGCUUCCUGUACAGCCUGUGGAACUAUGGUCUGAGAGUACCUGUGCUGAAAUGGAAUUGUCUUUGAGUGGACACUUCUUAGAUGAGACCUAUUGUGGCCAAUAGCUCCUGAGGAACUGAAGCCUUCAGUUCAAAACUUGUGUGAGAAAAAUGAAUCUUGCCAACUACUGGAGUGAGCUUAGAAAUGAAUCCAUCCCCAGUUGACCCUUGAAUGUAGCCUUGUCAGAGACCCAGAGACAAAGCAUCCUGCUAAUCUGCACUGGGUUCUAGGCCCACAGAAACCAUGGGAUAAUAACUUUGUGUUGCUAUAAGCCACUGAAAACAAACAAAUAAAAUACUUAAGAUGUUCCCCUGUGGAAGGGUUCCAUUGCCAGGGAUCUGCACUUCACAACCAAAGGGAUUAAAGAGAAUUGCCUUCUUCAGAUUUCAGACUGUGGCCUGCUUCUGGUUUUUCUUUCUAUAUUCAUAUAUAUGUUUGUUUAAAUCAUCCUACUUUUGGAGCAGGAAAAGUUACUAUUACAGUUUAUACAAAGGGAAGAAAUCUGGUACAUGCUAAAGUUAUUCAUCUGUAACUACCUGACGAGCCCAAUUAGUUGCUUGCUCCUAUGGAUUCUGAGCCUAAAAUCCCUUCAACAGAUCUUUGACCUUUUCUAAGUUAAGUUUUUGGAAGUAUCCUAUUUGUUCACUUACUUGGGCCAGAGACUAUAGAGAUUAAGAGAAAGUUUGAUAUUUGACCCUAAUUUUAGGCUAAAACAAUUUAGAUGGAAAGAACAGACACAAUUCAAUUUAACCAUCUUCAACUGCUGUGCUUUAGAAAGCUGGGAGUGUGGAGAAUGGAGUAGGUGUACAGAAAAAUAAGAACAGUUCUGUUCUUCAGGGCUUGAUAAAGGCUGCUGUGAGUUGGAUGGACAAUAAUUACUACUGACUAGGUCUAGCUGGGAUAGUUAGGGGAGACUUUCUGAAAGAGGCAACACAUGAGCUGGGUUCUAAAUCUCAAAUAGGAUUUGAUGGCUGAAGAUGAGGGUAAUAAAACAAGAGAAACAAGUACAUUCCAGAUAGAAAGAAUAGUAUAAGCCAAGAAAAACCUAUUCCAGGGCAGCAGGGAAGAGUCUGAAGUGGCAAAACAAAGUAGGAGGCAAAGCUGUCAAUAUAAGUAACUUGGUAGAGAAACAUUAGGAGUUUGGAUUUUAUCCCAUUGACUAGGAGGAUUUAAAAACAGAAAAUGCUCACAGGGGCCAGGCAAGUUAUGAGUAAAUAAAAGGUCCAGGUGUAAGUGCAACAGGGCCCAUGGACAUAGGAAUGGGGGAUGUGAAAAACCAACCUUUGCUAACAGUGAGUUCUACUAUGCAGUUUUAGCUGAUUAUAGCCAGACUCGAAAGCAACCUUUGUAGGGUUGACAGUUCUUGUGAUUGUUCAAGAAAAAAAUUUAUGUAAAAUCUACUGACUUGAAAAUACUAGAUUAAUUUAUUUAAUGUUAUAGAGCUCAAAUAAAACACAUUUGUCUUAUUUAUAGCCCAAGAGCUUUUGGUGGUGAUGGUGGGUAACAAUUUUGGUAGGAGAGAAGGCUAUGAGUUGAAUGGUGUCUUAGGAAUAUUUGGCAUUUGUGAUAGAUUGGACAAGGUAGAGAUGUAAAAGAAAAAAUGUCUCAGGCCGGGUAUGCUGGCUCACACCUGUCUGAGUACUUUUUGUGGCUGAGGUGGGAUUGUUUGAACCCAGGAGUUCAAGGCUAGCCUGGGCAAUAUGGUGAGACCUUGUCUCUACAAAAACAUUUAUUAAAAAAUUAGCAAAGCAUGAUGGUGUGCACCUGUAGUCCCAGCUACUUGGGAUGCUGAGGUGGGAGGAUUGUUUAAACCGGGGAGUUCGGGGCUGAGGUUAGAUGAAAUACCACUGAAAGGCCACUGCAUUCCAGCCUGGGUGACAGAGUAAGACCCUGUCUCAAAAUAAUAAUAAUAAUAAUUGCAUCAGACCAGUUAAACAGGAAGACCUUAUUCAAGAUUACCACAAUAAGGAGAGAAAUUGAAUUCAACUUUGCCGAAUGAAAAGUGGGAGAGUUUUUAAGCACUGAGAUGCACUAGUAGAAAAAUACUGAAGGAAGUUAGUGGAGAGGUUGAUCAAUGUGAUGAGAAUAUCUGUAAUUGCUAACUGGCUGUUUUAAAAGCUAGGCUCCCAUCCCUCCACAGAGACCGGACUAUAAGAGUGCUAUCUUUCUUGAGGAGUACAUUUCAAAAGGAUGGCUCCCAGGUCCUUCCCAUCCCAGGUCCUUCAGACAUUCCUGGGUUAUACAGGAUUUAUAUCUGUUAAAGCAAACUAAAUAUGGCCAGAGAAGGACUCCUUAUUUCUAUAUUUGAGUCCACGUGAAUGAAAUGCAACCUAACUUAAUGGGUAGACAAGAUUGAGAACCUAACUUGGGAGUGUGUGCCUGUAACAGUGGCUGGGCCUUGGCCAAUCCCAGCAGCCAUACGUCAACCACUCAUACAGCGUGGAGUGUUCAAACUGUGUUCAAAUAAGGUAAAUGCCAACCUGUAACCAAUCCAGCUGUUUCUGAACCUCACUUCUGAUUUCUGUACAUCACUUUUCUUUUUUUGUCUAUAAAUUUGUUCUAAUCAUGAGGCAUCCCUGGAGUCUCUCUGAAUCAGCUGUGAUUCUGGGGGCUGCCCAAUUCACAAAUCAUUCAUUGCUCAAUUAAACUCCUUUAAAUUUAAUUCAGCUGCAGUUUUUCUUUUACCACAUCUAAAAGGCAGAGAAAGAAUUUACAAGUGCAAGUUUUCUGAAGUAAAUGCUCUAAGAAAAGGGAGGACAGAGGCCUAAAGUUAGAAAUAAACUUGUCUAGGCUGGGCGUAGUGGCUCAUGCCUGUAAUCCCAGCACUUUGGGAUGCCGUGGCGGGCAGGUCACUUGAAGUCUGAAGUUUGAGACCAGACUGGCCAACAUGGUAAAACCCCGUCUCUACUAAAAAUACAAAAAUUAGCAGGGCAUGGUGUGCAUGCCUGUAGUCUCAGCUCCUUGGGAGGCUGAGGCAGGAGAAUUGCUUGAAUCAGGGAGGCGGAGGUUGCAGUGAGGCGAGAUCGCGCCACUGCACCCCAGCCUCGGCGACAGAGUGAGACUACAUCUCAAACACACACAAAAACACGCGCGCGCGUGCACACACACACACACACACAACUUGUCUAGAGUUUAGUCAAGCUGAGUGUUAAGGCCAACUCAUUCAGAGGAUAAAUGCAGGGAGAAGAGUUAGAAGCUAUUGUAAUAAUCCACAUGUCACGUUCUAAAGUCCAAAAUGAAGGACUAACACCUGAACCAAGAAAAUGUGCGAAAGGCCUUGAAAUGAACGAAAAAGAUUACUAGGUGCUUUCAGCUGAUAAAGUAGGUCUUUUCUAGUGAGCACUCUGCCAGUUUAUUUGAAUCUAUGAGGUUUUUCUCUUUCAUUGCCUGUGAGUUGUUUUCCAAGGAUUUACAAUGUAAGUUGUGGUUAACUGAUUGCAAUACAAAUUAAUCUUCUUUAUAGACAUGCAAAUGAGAUCUGUCUGCUGUAGGAACAAUUCAUUUUCCUUCCCCCGCUACUGAUGUAGUAAACCAGUUUUAUAUCUACUUAUAAAUUAUUUACAUCUAUUUAUAAAUUCAUGUUAGCAUUUCUUAUUGCUUAUAUAUGGGUGGUUCUUUGAUUGGAAUAGCUUACUGGUUCUUUGUUAAUUAAAGAGUUACAAUAUUUAACAUGUGUUUGUUUAAUUACAUGAGUCUUAAUUAUAUAGUUUUAAAAAACAUUAUUCUUUAAUAUCUAUAAGAGAAUAAAGGUAUAAAUGUAAGAGAUUUAAAAGAUAGAAUCAAUACAACCCAGUGAAAAAUGUGAAGGUUAAGAAAAAGGGAAAAAAAAUGAUGCUGUUGAAUUUUGUAUCCAGGGGCUUGGAUGGAUGAUUUGUCGUAGAUAGAAAUAGGAGUAGCAGGAGGAAGAGAAGUUUGAGUGCCAAAGUGGGAGAAGAGGCAUUCCUUCUUUUACAAGUAUUGAGUUUGAGAGGAGGU